UUAAGGGAGACCUACCCGCUCAAAUUCUGAAAGCAAUGUGCAAAUAAGGAUUGAGUUGGUCAUCCCAAGGUCGUUCGAGGUAUGAGUGUCGGGCUUUCAAACUAUUAAAGGUUCGGUUAUGGGCUAUUAGCUCAGGUGGUUAGAGCGCACCCCUGAUAAGGGUGAGGUCCCUGGUUCGAGUCCAGGAUGGCCCACCUUAGCAAUUGCACGGGGGUUUAGCUCAGUUGGUAGAGCGCCUGCUUUGCAAGCAGGAUGUCAGCGGUUCGAGUCCGCUAACCUCCACUGGAGUUGAUAGAGCGAGAGGAAGAAUACAGCAACUUAUCUAGGUUUUGCUAGAGAGCCUGCUGGAUUAGUCCAGUCAGAACCAUGAAAACUGCAUAGUGAAAGAAGAUUUCUGUCAGGUAGUAGAGAUUCAUCUGAUUUAGGUCAGAUGGGUC
rnacentral:tRNA from 1 species